AUUUUUGUAGUUGAUUAACAACAGUGGUUUUUCGGGCCGCCGGUCUCUGAUAGAGCAAAAAUU
rnacentral:tRNA from 1 species